rnacentral:lncRNA from 1 species
UCAACUCGAUUGCACCUCUAAUCACAUCUCCACAGUUCCAAGAGGGAAUUUUUUUUUAUAUAAGAAGGUUCAUUCAAAUAAUUCUUAUAUGAAUACAACCAAAAGAAUAAGAAAAUAAAAGAUCCCAAAGUGACCCAGGAACUGCCCUGGCCUCGGUCCAAAGAACUUCACCCGAGUUCUCCACAACAUAGGCAACCAUCCAAUCUACCGUAGUAUUCGCCUCCUAGUAUACAUGUCUGAUAGUCAGAUCAGAGCAUCCUCCCAGCAAGAUCGUAAUAUCAUGCAAAAGGGGGUGAGUGGCUCCUUCAAUGCUGCUCUAAAGCCAAGCCACCACUGAUGCAGUCACCU